UCGGGGAUCGACUGAGGGGGUUCGGAGACCCGGGAGCGCCCGGCGUCUGCGUGGGUGGUGGGGGAGCUGGGAAGCAGAGGCCCAAGCCGGGGUUGUGGGUUGGAGUACUCUGGGCUGCGGCAGGGAGGGACUCCCCGCGGUGCCUGCUGUUAGCUGUGGGGUGAGGACCGCAGCGAUUGAGGCGCUUCGGGAGGACCCUACCUUCAGGGCAGAGCAUCCAUUCUGGGAAAGCCCUUGCUCACCAGAGCGCCCGGGAAGACAGCGUGGAGGCUGGACAGAGAAGAUUGCUUGGUGCCAGAGAUCGUGGGGCCACCUGUGUCAUCCUUUUGCUUGGGGGGAUGGAAGGCUCCUUUCCAGCGCCAUCACCCGGGGGAGCAUCCUUUGGAUCUAGGAGACUGCUGGCUUUUUUGGCAGAGGAAAAUAUGGCAGAAAAAGCCUUUCAUAUGUGGCCUUGAAUGGACAGAGAGGAAACAGGGGUGAACCUCACUUAUACUAGUGUGCUUGGAGGCCUGCUCGGGUAUUCUUCCUGCUGCUAUGACAAAACACUACAGACUGGGUUCUUAAACAAUAGAAGUUCAUUAUCUCACAGUGCUGGAAGCUGCAAGCCCAAGAUUAAGGUGUGGGCACUUUUGGUUUCUUUGAGGCCUCAGGUGGUUGUAUCUUUGUGCAUGGGCAUCCUUGGUUUCUUAGGAAGAGACUAGAUGGACUGGACUAGAUUCCCACCCUUAUGGUCUCACCGUUUAACCUUAAUUAUCUCUUUAAAGGUUGUGUCUCUGAAUACAGUUAUAUUGUGAUAUGUCAGAGGUUAGGGCUUUAAGUAGAAAUUUUAGAGAAACAAUUCGUCUCGCAGGUGUGUGUGUGUGUGUGUGCGCGUUCGUGCAUGUGCGCGUGUGUGCUGUCUGGAUCCUUUGUAAAGAAGGAAGGUAUUCAUGGUUGUCAUAGGGUGUAUUAAAAUUUCCUUUACCCAGCUUUAUCUUGGGUUUCAGGCCUCUUGCUGUACUACAGAGACUUGUACAUAGCAUGAACUUCAGAUUGCUCUUGUCUGGCUUCUCCCUCAGGUGUUCCUCAUCCUGCAAACCUGGCAAUGGUCAGAUUGUAUAGAAACUCCAGCAUAUGCUCUUUGCUUCACUUCUGCAAGUGUUGAUUUGACCUGUCCAGGGUGGAGACUUGUGCCUGACAUCCACACUUGGCCAGUGCAGUUUCAGGUUUAGGAGAAUAGCUGUGAGCAAGACCAAGUCCCUGCCUUCGUGGUUUCUAGGAGCGAAGGUAGACUAGUCAAGUAGGCAGGACACACUGUAGUGCCAAGGAAUGAUACAAAGAAGAGAAAGGGGAUAAAGUGAUGGAGGUGAGCAGUAGUCUAGAGUCAUGUGGCUUAACCUCUUGGCUGGUUCUGAAAGCAAACUUCCUUAUUUUGUUAUUGACACAGUAAGAGCUAAUGAAAGAAGCAAACUUACUCACCCAGUUGUAUAACUAUGGAUCAUUACUUAAGCCUCCCCAGACCUCAGUUUCCUCAUCUGUAAAAUGAAUGUGAAUGCUCCUUAGUUGUGAGGAGGAUUAAAGAAGCACUUAGAUGGAGCUCUGUUAUUCCCAAGACCCUCAUGACCUAUGCCCUCUCAUAGCUCUUGAAGCCCUGCUGCUCAAGGUGUCUGGAAAAACCCAACAGACAGGAGGGUUUGAAGCGUGUGUUUUGCAUUCAUGCCUUGGUAGUUGUUUUACGUCACAUGUUCUCAUUCAGGGGCCCUCAAAAAUGGGUUUUAAAUGGCUUUACCACUCACUUCCAAAAGAAGCAGCUUGGAAGUAGACACUUGAAGAGAGGAAUUUCUGAAGUAUUAAGAAGAUUGUCCUUAUGUGGUCACAGUUCCUCUUGUUUAACUGAAUACGAAAAGCUCUGAAUACUUGGAAUAUACUGGGCGGUGGCCCUUUACAGUGUCCACUGUUGUAUGUCUAUCUUUUGUUGUAGAGAUGUUACUGUCUCACUUAAUGGACAUUGCUUUCAUCUUUACAGCAUCUUUGUGAUAUAUGUUAUAUAUACUGAAUUCUGUUUAGGUAACCUAGCUGUAAAGAUUUCAUACUAGAGAUGUUUUUUCUUCCAGUGCUGGGAGAUUGAACCUAGGAACAUGCUAGGCAGGCACUCUGCCGCAGCCCUAGACCUGUACUAUGUGUGGACUUGAUAGUGUAGAUCUACAAGGGGGAAUUGAAUCUUGGAGUUGUCAAAUGCUAUACUUGAAAAGGCCCUUUAGAGAUCACUGCCUAGGUCUUGUACUGGACACAUGAAAUGGCAAUGCUCCCUGUUAGGGGUGCAGCACCCUUAGCUAACUGAGUAAAUACAGGAAGUCAUUGCCUGUGUCCCAGUGAGGAUGUGGGGAGGGGAGCGCAAAACUAAUUUCAUAGUGUUUCCUGCUAACUUUCCCCUCAUCUCCUCCCCAAUUCCUUUCUUCUCCUGGAUAAUUAGCUUUUAUCGGAGGGGAUUCUUGGGCUGAUGCCCAAAUAUAGUUUAGUCUUGAUUGGUUUUUAUUUCCCUUGUGACCCAACAUAAGAAGAGAAAUGUCAAUUGAAGGCCUUGGUCAGAUUGGCCUGUGAGCAUGUCUGUGAGAGAUCACUUUGGUUGAUGAUUGAUGCGGAAGCUCCAGUCCACCAUGGGUGGCACCAUCCCUAGGUUGAUGGGCCUGGGCUGUAUAAGAAAGUUAAGUGGAGAGAACCAGAGAUCAAAUCACACACAGGCUUCUGUUUGGUUCCUGCCCUUUCCUUCCCUAAAUCAAUAGUCACCUCUCCAAUCUGCAGCAAAUUAGAACAAAGGUUAAAUACCUGAAGGUAAAGGUGAGCCACAUGGUUGGCUAAGUUGGGAUGUCAAGGAUGCCUCUGAAAUAGAAAUCACAGUGCUCACAGAUGGACCUGGUUUCUCAAUGUGAAUUGCACAAGACAGCCUCCUAAGAAUGGGGUGCAAAUAGCUACGGGCAGCUUGGCCUUGGCCACAAGGAAGAUGUGCUUCUGCCCCAGUGACUGAGCAACUUCUGUGAACCUGGGUGUAUCAAGAGUGUCACAGGAGGAGGGGGCCAUUCUGCAGCUGUCACAGGUAGUU